CCUGCCGUCUACUCUUGGACAGCCUUCUGAAGGGAAGAAUAAUACAAGAUGGCAUCAUGAGUCCGCAUGUUCACAUGAUUAAAGGUAUUCCGGUAGACGAUGGGGAUGCGUUCCAUUAGAUAGUAGGCGGGGUAACGGCCCACCUAGUCUUCGAUGGAUAGGGGUUCUGAGAGGAAGGUCCCCCACAUUGGAACUGAGACACGGUCCAAACUCCUACGGGAGGCAGCAGUGAGGAAUAUUGGUCAAUGGGCGAGAGUCUGAACCAGCCAAGUAGCGUGAAGGAUGACUGCCCUAUGGGUUGUAAACUUCUUUUAUAAAGGAAUAAAGUCGGGUAUGCAUACCCGUUUGCAUGUACUUUAUGAAUAAGGAUCGGCUAUCUCCGUGCCAGCAGCCGCGGUAAUACGGAGGAUCCGAGCGUUAUCCGGAUUUAUUGGGUUUAAAGGGAGCGUAGAUGGAUGUUUAAGUCAGUUGUGAAAGUUUGCGGCUCAACCGUAAAAUUGCAGUUGAUACUGGAUAUCUUGAGUGCAGUUGAGGCAGGCGGAAUUCGUGGUGUAGCGGUGAAAUGCUUAGAUAUCACGAAGAACUCCGAUUGCGAAGGCAGCCUGCUAAGCUGCAACUGACAUUGAGGCUCGAAAGUGUGGGUAUCAAACAGGAUUAGAUACCCUGGUAGUCCACACGGUAAACGAUGAAUACUCGCUGUUUGCGAUAUACAGCAAGCGGCCAAGCGAAAGCGUUAAGUAUUCCACCUGGGGAGUAC
rnacentral:rRNA from 1 species